UUCCUACGGGAGGCAGCAGUGGGGAAUCUUGGACAAUGGGCGCAAGCCUGAUCCAGCCAUGCCGCGUGAGUGAUGAAGGCCUUAGGGUCGUAAAGCUCUUUCGCCAGAGAUGAUAAUGACAGUAUCUGGUAAAGAAACCCCGGCUAACUCCGUGCCAGCAGCCGCGGUAAUAAUU
rnacentral:rRNA from 1 species